CCUUUGUGCUGAGCCAUCCGGCAGGUGGGAAUGUAAAACUCCGCCUGAUUGCUUAUGCCUGAGUCACCUCCUUUAGCAUUUGUUACAGCCUAGCGUGUUAGCAUGCUGCCUGCUGGAUAAUAAAUGACUUCAUUCGCUGCAGCAGUGAGGAGACUAUUAAAAAUUAACCUUGGCAAAUGGUCCUGCAUAUCUUUUUCGGUCACAGCCAGACAAGAGGGAAGAGGAGAGGAGUGAUAUUGAAAUCUGAUUUGCAGAAAAGGUGCAGUGACAGCAAAAUAAUUUCACAGACUCCUGUCAUCCUCUGGAUCUCUGGAUCAGUUCUUACUCCCUCCUGGCCUCAUUCAUCGCUUCUGCGAAUGAAGUUGUAAACACCUGCUGUGGUCAAAACUGUUCGUACACCGCCUUGUGAACGCAAUGACUUCAAGCACCUGAAAUCAUGAAGUUAAUGUUAUAGUCAAGACUUCACCCAGAGCUCUUUCUGCAGACCUGAGCUGAUUUUUUUGAAAAUGCCAUGGUAGUUGCUAGUUCUUAACUGAUAGAGGAAUUGCCAAAGGUAGUCAGUGUUCUGCUUAUCAUGCAGUACAAGCAGAUGGGAGAGUUUUUCCAGCAGAACAGCAGUCUGGAAGGGCGUGGCAGUACCAUGGUAUGAAUUCCUCACUUAAUCUCAGAUUAGUUUUGAUUUUUGUCUCAUUGUAUAAAGUGGGGAUGAAUAUCCUUGUGUUGUAUUAUUUACUUGGAAUAAUAAGCUUCCAGGGGCACAUUUUUUACCAUGCAUGGUAUUCUUCUGGUAGCAUUAGCUCUAUUGACACGUUUUUGUGUAAAGAUUAAGAAUAGUUGAAAAUCAAACCCAAAUGGGGCAAGCCUGAAGAUCAUCUAGGUGUGGACUUACAUCUAAAGUAAUUCCUGUUCCUCUGCUUUCAAUAGAGAUGUAUAACACUGUGGCGGUGGUAGAAUGGCUAAUGAAAACUGCACAGAAAUGGAAGUUAUCCAGGGGGAAAGCAAAAUAUCAGGAGUUUAAUACACUCUACUUGGGGACUGAGUAAUUUCUGCCUUGCUGUAAUGAAAGAACAUCUUAAACAAAAUUCUCACACUGCAAAUGCACGCCAGUUCUGAAGAAGCUGAGAGGCAAGAAAGACAUGGAAAAAUGUGGCAAGAGUUUAACCAAAGUGGAUUAUACUUACCUCUGUAAAAGGACUAAUCUUCUAGAUGAAAAAAUUACUACUGGUUUGGGAUUUUCGGACAGCCUUCAGGACUGGGUCCCAACAGAAGUUGGUAGUUAUGCUGGAAAAGUGAUUCUCACAAGACAAAAAGGGUUGAAUAGCAAAAAAGGAAUAUGAUGAUGCCAUGGCAAUCUCCACCCAAGAGAUGGUGAAUAGGGAAAGAAUAGCACACUGCUGCUCACAGAGCUGCACCAGAGUCACAAUCCUGCACCAACAGAGAUGUUUGAUUGUGUCCCCAGCAAAAGCUGAACCACAUCCAUUGGAUCCAGCUUAUGACAAACUUAAUUCUGCCAUGUCUAAUCUUUUGACCACUCUGGGCUGGAAACCAGGAUCCCUUCCUGCCUCCGAAUGAUCCCCGAGCUGCACGGAUGCGGGCGCGGCAGUGGGCGGAGCGUCGGCGCGUCGGGCGGAGCAUCGGGUCCCGGGGGCGGAGACUCGUGGGCCGCGGGCGGAGCCUGGAGCGCUGGGUCAGGUGCCGAGGCGGCGCGCGGUGGCGGCGGCGGUUGCCUGGCGACGGCCAGCCUGGGCGCGGCUUAGCGCCCCUGGCCCAGCCCGGCCUACAGGUAGGAGCCGGCCUACCCCCGCCACUAGGCCCGUGGGGAGGAGGCGUUCUGCUUCUCGUCCGUAGGAGGGAGGGAGAGGGCAGGGGCGGCAGCCUGGGGGCGGCUUUGUGUGCGUGGGGACUGGCGGAGGGGUGAUUCCCUCCGUGUUACCCAAUAUUUGCACGUGUACGUUUAAGGCCCUUUAAAAAAGGCCUUUCUGGUGACCACGGUGACUGGUGUGGUACACAUCUAAAGCGUCCUGGGGCUUUAAGGCCCCAAGAGUGUGCAGUUCUGUAGCAAGAACUACCCGGAGGUGGAAGCACCUGAAGGUCUCAGUUUACAUUGGUGUUGAUAAUAAAUCUGGUAUGUUUAAUGAUGUGUUUAAAUCUUAUGUGUUGGUAGAGCUCUAAGGAGAAAAAUGCUUCUAAUAAAUACUCCUGGGCACUUGCAAGUUGUAGAAGCAUCCCUGAGAUGUUGAGAGAACGUGGCUCCUCCACAGGUCUCCUCAGCUUCUCUUGAAUGACUGAAGAGAUUUGCCAGUGGCUUUAAGCUUUGUUCAGCUUCUUGCAGAAAGGGGCUUACGUAUGGUCCCUGUCUGAUUUACUGCCCCUUUGUGGUAGAGAUAAUGGUUUGGGGAUGGACCUGCUAUAGGCAAGAGACUUGCAAUACUCACCCAUACUUUUUAGCAGACAGUAUUAUUUCAUUGGAUAACUUAAGCUCUCCCUUUGGCCUGUUGGUGAGGCCUGCGCUAUUCUGGCUCUACACCCAUCUUCUAUAGUCAUUGUUUCCUGAUAUAAAUGUUCCUGUUUACCUAUUAUUUUCCAUUCUGACUGCUUUUACAAGGCAAAAUUUUCUGAUGAGUGAUACAGUGAAAAUUUAUUUAAUAGUGACUUCAGCCUUUUACCCUGUGCUAGCCUGAUGGCAGUGUUUUCUCUAACACAGGCUCAACUUACCCCUACAGCCUAGGAAAUGACUGUUCUUUGAGUAAAUGAUUGUUUAGUAAAUAACUUUUUUUUGUACCAAAUCCUUCACCUUCUCAUGAUCUUCUUGGGAAACUGUUUUCAGUUAUACUUUCAUUAAGCUCUUCUAGGCUGUGCUGCUUCACGUCCUGUUACGCUGUUAAGACCUAUUGAGCAUGGACGUCUGCUGCUACAGUGGAUAAAGUACUCUUAUUUAUUCCUUGGGGAAUGCUCAGAGUCUCUGGGUUUGUUUUGGGUUUGUAUUUUUUUCUCUUAAAGAUUGUGUGCCUACUGUUGUUUUAGCAGGAUAUGGCGCAAUCAAAUGUUUAAGAAGUUGCACUAUGAGCAUCUGCGUCAUUCAAGAUAAAUGGAGAUGAAUGGCUGUGAUUAGUAAAAGAAAAUCUCUGUAGGAGAGGGAUGGGAAAUGAAAGACGCAGAACGGCAGUGGCAUUGGAAGCAAAGGUAAAGUCUGACCUCUCAAGAGAUUGAUAUGUGGAUACAUCCACGUAUGGGCAGUUCAGUUCGUUAGUUUAAUCAUACGCUACCAUCAGCAGAAGAGAGAACAGUCUCUGCUCGUGGCCUGGGAUGCCAUCAGCCUGUUCCUACACAACUUGAGGGACCUGAUCCUAUAUGAAAGCAGGAUUCAGAUUCAGGAUGUUAAAUAUACAUCAUAAGUGGAGAGCUCCCUGAAGGUAACUUUUAUUUUAAUGCACUCCGACUUGCAUGCAGAGUGGUUGUAGGAUGUGCAGUGCAGGUCUUGGGCACUCAGGCUGUCUGGCUGCCUUUCUUCAGGCCAGCUCCAGCAGCUCUGAAAUAGUAUGCUGGGAUUUGUAUUUUUAAGUCUUCUCAGUCAAAUCGGAAGCUAAAGAAGAAACAACUUGAGCAACUUUUACUUCAAUGCGAGCCUUGACCUAUGGGACUUUAUGUAAAGUGGCUGAUGAAGAGCAGAUGGAUUCAACCUGGAUGUAGACCACCUCUUGCAGAAGUGUCUUGAGGAAAGAAGACACGUUUCAGGGAGGCUGGUGGGAAUGCUUCUGUUACUACUUUAAAUCAUACUGACUGAUGCUUUUAUCUUGGGUUAGCCAGAUGAUGAAUUUUGUACUUGUGUCAUCCACCUACUCUCUUUGUGCGAAGUUGUUCACGUGAAUGAGUCAUUUCAGGAUUGGGACCUGAAACUAUGGCACUGAGUUACAUUCCCUCUUCGUGCUUGGAGAGCAUGGAUAAGUGCCCAUGACAUGAAGAGAGCUUUGCAUGCCCUAAAACUUGUCUUGUUUUCCUAUAUCUGUUGAUCUUAAAAAGUUACUGACUCUACAAAACCUUGCUUUGUUUAUGUCCUUCCUUGGUAUGUCCAGUAGCAUGCCUAGCAUCUGCCAUUUAAGUUAAUUGCUGAAUUAGGCCUUCUGAAUGCAAGGAGGGUAAAUGAGUGACCUGGCUGAUGUUUUAGAAAAAAUAUUUGCUUGGGCUAUUGUCCUUUGAAGUUUAACAGAAUAUCCGAUAGAUAUUAAGACAACUUGUAGAGUAUUAAAGAUGAGAUCCAUUCUUAAUUCAGCCUGCAGGAUGCACUUACCUGUAUAUUCUGUCUUCUGAAAUAAGAAUAAAAUAUUGGAGGUAAGGCCCAAAAAGAAGGCUAUUAAGCAUUUCCUGACAGAAGACUUCAUUAAG